CCUGGUUGAUCCUGCCAGUAGUCAUAUGCUUGUCUCAAAGAUUAAGCCAUGCAUGUCUAAGUACAUACUGUUUAUAAAGUGAAACCGCGAAUGGCUCAUUAAAUCAGUUAUAGUUUGUUUGAUAGUACGCGGCUACCGGAUAACCGUAGUAAUUCUAGAGCUAAUACGCGCAACAAACCCCCACUUCCGGAAGGGAUGCAUUUAUUAGAUAAAAGGCUGACGGGCUUUGCCCGCUGCUCCUAUGAUUCAUGAUAACUCGACGGAUCACACGGCCCUCGCCGUCGCGACGUGAUCAUUCAAAUUUCUGCCCUAUCAACUUUCGAUGGUAGGAUAGGGGCCUACCAUGGUGGUGAAGGGUGACGGAGAAUUAGGGUUCGAUUCCGGAGAGGGAGCCCGAGAAACGGCUACCACAUCCAAGGAAGGCAGCAGCGCCAAGAAAUUACCCAUUUCAUUACACGGGAGGUAGUCACAAUAAAUAACAAUACCGGCUCUUCGAAGUCCGGUAAUUGAAUGAGUACACCCAAAUCCCUUAACGAGGAUCCAUGGAGGACAAGUCCGGUGCCGCCGCCGCGGUAAUUCCAGCCCAAUAGCUUAUAUUUAAGUUGUUGCGAAAAAAGCUCAGAGUUGGACUUUGGGACGGGUCGGUCGGUCUCGCUGGUGCACCGGCCGCCCCAUCCUUCUCGGUUUGGCGAUGCGUUUGGCCAUAAUCGUCGGUCGCGGCUCCUCCGGCCAAGCAUUUUGAAGAAAUUAGAGUGUUCAAAGCAAGCCCACGCCUGGAUACAUUAGCAUGGGAUAACAUCACAGAUUUCGGUCCUAUUGUGUUGGCCUUCGGAUCGGAGUAAUGAUUAAGAGGGACAAAUGGGGCAUUCAGAUUUUAUAGUCGAGGUGAAAUUUUGGAUUUAUGAAAGAUCUAACCAUCGCGAAAAGCAUUUGCCAAGGAUGUUCCAUUAAUCAAGAACGAAAGUUGGGGGCUCAAGACAAUCGAUACCGCCCUAGUCUCAACCAUAAACGAUGCCGACUUGUGGAUCGGCGGAUGUUGUUUUAGGACUCCGCCGGUACCUUAUGAGAAAUCAAAGUCUUUGGGUUCUGGGGGAGUAUGGUCGCAAGGUGAAAACUUAAAGGAAUUGACGAAGGGCACCACCAGAGUGGAGCCUGCGGGUUUAAUUUGACUCAACACGGGAAACUUACCAGGUCCAGACAUAGCAAGGAUUGACAAACCGAGAGCUUUUCUUGAUUCUAUGGGUGGUGGUACAUGGCUGUUCUUAGUUGGUGGAGCGAUUUGUCUGGUUAAUUCCGACAACUAACGAGACCUAAGCUCGCUAACUAGUUACGCGGAGGCAUCCUCCGCCAGCUUAGAGGGACUAUGGCCGUUUAGGGCCACGGAAGUUUGAGGCAAUAACAGGUCUGUGAUGCCCUUAGAUGUUUUGGGUCGCGACGCUACACCGGAUGUAUUCAACGAAGUUCAUAGCCUUGGCCGACAGUGCCCGGGUAAUCUUUGAAAAUUUCAUCAUGAUGGGGAUAGAUCAUUGCAAUUGUUGGUCUUCAACCCAGGAAUUCCUAGUAAGCGAAGUCAUCACCGCUGACUACGCCCCUCGCUUCUUUGUACACACCGCCCGCCGCUUCCUACCGAUUGAAUGGUCCGGUGAAGUGUUCGAUCGAGGCGACGGGGCGGUUCGUCGCCCGCCGACGUCGCGAGAAGUCCACUGAACCUUAUCAUUUAGAGGAAGGAGAAGUCGAAUAAGGUUUCCGAGGUGAACCCACGGAAG
rnacentral:rRNA from 1 species